rnacentral:rRNA from 1 species
GACGAACGCUGGCGGCGUGCUUAACACAUGCAAGUCGAACGGAAAGGCCCUGCUUUCGUGGGGUGCUCGAGUGGCGAACGGGUGCGUAACACGUGAGUAACCUGCCCUUGACUUUCGGAUAACUUCAGGAAACUGGGGCUAAUACCGGACAGCAGCUCCUGCUGCAUGGUGGGGGUUGGAAAGUUUCGGCGGUUGGGGAUGGACUCGCGGCUUAUCAGCUUGUUGGUGGGGUAGUGGCUGACCCAGGCAUUGACGGGUAGCCGGCCUGUGAGGGUGACCGGCCUCCAGGGGACUGAGAUACAGCGCAGACUCCUACGGGAGGCAGCAGUGGGGAGUAUUGCACAAUGGGCGGAAGCCUGAUGCAGCAACGCCGCGGGCGGGAUGACGGCCUUCGGGUUGUAAACCGCUUUCGCCUGUGACGAAGCGUGAGUGACGGUAAUGGGUAAAGAAGCACCGGCUAACUACGUG